CUUGCCUACGGGGGGCAGCAGUGGGGAAUAUUGCACAAUGGGGGAAACCCUGAUGCAGCGACGCCGCGUGAGUGAAGAAGUCAUUCGUGAUGUAAAGCUCUAUCAGCAGGGAAGAAAAUGACGGUACCUGACCAAGAAGCCCCGGCUAACUACGUGCCAGCAGCCGCGGUAAUACGUAGGGGGCAAGCGUUAUCCGGAUUUACUGGGUGUAAAGGGAGCGUAGACGGUUGCGCAAGGCUGGAGUGA
rnacentral:rRNA from 1 species